AUUGAACGCUGGCGGCAUGCCUUACACAUGCAAGUCGAACGGUAACAGGUCUUCGGAUGCUGACGAGUGGCGAACGGGUGAGUAAUACAUCGGAACGUGCCCAGACGUGGGGGAUAACGAGGCGAAAGCUUUGCUAAUACCGCAUACGAUCUAAGGAUGAAAGCAGGGGACUGCAAGGCCUUGUGCGUUUGGAGCGGCCGAUGGCAGAUUAGGUAGUUGGUGGGAUAAAAGCUUACCAAGCCGACGAUCUGUAGCUGGUCUGAGAGGACGACCAGCCACACUGGGACUGAGACACGGCCCAGACUCCUACGGGAGGCAGCAGUGGGGAAUUUUGGACAAUGGGCGAAAGCCUGAUCCAGCAAUGCCGCGUGCAGGAUGAAGGCCUUCGGGUUGUAAACUGCUUUUGUACGGAACGAAAAGGCUCUGGCUAAUACCUGGGGCACAUGACGGUACCGUAAGAAUAAGCACCGGCUAACUACGUG
rnacentral:rRNA from 1 species